GCACUACUGAAGAGUCCCAUAAUAGGAUGAAACGGUCGUCCAGUGC
rnacentral:hammerhead_ribozyme from 1 species